AUUGAACGCUGGCGGCAGGCCUAACACAUGCAAGUCGAGCGAGCGGCGGACGGGUGAGUAAUGUCUGGGAAACUGCCUGAUGGAGGGGGAUAACUACUGGAAACGGUAGCUAAUACCGCAUACCAUCAGAUGUGCCCAGAUGGGAUUGGCUAGUAGGGUGGGUAACGUCUCACCUAGGCGCCGAUCCCUAGCUGGUCUGAGAGGAUGACCAACCACACUGGAACUCAGACACGGUCCAGAGGCCUACGGGAGGCAGCAGAGGGGAAUAUUGCACAAUGGGCGCAAGCCUGAUGCAGCCAUGCCGCGUGUGUGAAGAAGGCCUUCGGGUUGUAAAGCACGUUCAGCGGGGAGGCGUUACCCGCAGAAGAAGCACCGGCUAACUCCGUGCCAGCAGCCGCGGUAAUAC
rnacentral:rRNA from 1 species